CCUACGGGAGGCAGCAGUGGGGAAUAUUGGGCAAUGGGCGCAAGCCUGACCCAGCGACGCCGCGUGAGGGAAGACGGCCUUCGGGUUGUAAACUUCUUUCAGCAGGGAAGACAAAAGGACGGUACCUGCAGAAGAAGCCACGGCUAACUACGUGCCAGCAGCGGCGGUAAUACGUAGGGGGCAGGCGUUAUCGGGAUUUACGGGGUUUAAGGGGUGUGUAGGCGGGUUGGCAAGUCAGAUGGGAAAAUUAUGGGCUCAACCCAUAACCUGCGUCUGAAACUGCAGUUCUUGAGAGUGGGAGAGGUAAACGGAAUGCCCGGUGUAGCGGUGAAAUGCGUAGAUAUCAGGAGGAACACCAGUUGCGAAGGCGGUUUACUGGACCACAACUGACGCUGAGACACGAAAGCGUGGGGAGCAAACAGGAUUAGAUACCCUUGUAGUC
rnacentral:rRNA from 1 species